AAGAAUUAAAGAGGUCCAGAUUAUUGGGUUGCUGAAAUUAACGCUUUCUAAAGGUUCAUUAGAUCAAGUUGAAUAAAGCUUGUUCACUUUGUUUUUAAAAAAUUAUAUGCUCCAAAAAGUGUGGUUAUGUGCCACUUAAAAAUGAAAAGCAAAAGAACAGGAACAGAAGAUAUGUGUUGGGUUAUGUGUCUUGAAACACCAAAUGAAUCCAAACCACACCACUCUAAAGAAAAAAAAAGUCACCAAAAGAAAACAAAAGGAAAAAUAAUAAUAAUAAAGAAAGAAAGAAGGAAAGCACCAACAAAUGC
rnacentral:lncRNA from 1 species